rnacentral:rRNA from 1 species
UACAGAGGUCUCAAGCGUUGUUCGGAUUCAUUGGGCGUAAAGGGUGCGUAGGCGGCGCGGUAAGUCGGGUGUGAAAUCUCGGAGCUUAACUCCGAAACUGCAUUCGAUACUGCCGUGCUUGAGGACUGGAGAGGAGACUGGAAUUUACGGUGUAGCGGUGAAAUGCGUAGAUAUCGUAAGGAAGACCAGUGGCGAAGGCGGGUCUCUGGACAGUUCUUGACGCUGAGGCACGAAGGCCAGGGGAGCAAACGGG